rnacentral:rRNA from 1 species
GACGGAGGGCGCUAGCGUUGUUCGGAAUCACUGGGCGUAAAGGGCGCGUAGGCGGCCUUGCAAGUCGGUUGGUGAAAGCCCGGGGCUCAACCCCGGAGGUGCGGCCGAGACUGCAGGGCUGGAGGCCGGAAGAGGAGGGUGGAAUACCCAGUGUAGAGGUGAAAUUCGUAGAUAUUGGGUGGAACACCGGUGGCGAAAGCGGCUCUCUGGUCCGGACCUGACGCUGAGGCGCGAAGGCGUGGGGAGCAAACAGG